rnacentral:misc_RNA from 1 species
GGAAGCUUCUUGAAGGAGAGCGAGGUCAACUUAUCCGACAAAAAGACAUAAUUGUAGUUGGGGAAUCUGGGCUGUUUACUCCUGAUGACAUUGCUUAUGUACAAGAAGCUGGUGUGAAAGCAGUUUUGGUUGGGGAGUCAAUUGUGAAACAAAGUGACCCUGGCAAGGGAAUAACUGGACUUUUUGGUAAAGACAUUUCUUUGUGAGUAGAAAAUAGCAAGAUUAUACAGCAGCCUUACUCCCUUCAUGUUCUAUUUAACGUUUGAUUCCUAUAAAUGUAUUAGCAAGCUUUGUUCUUUUGUCUAAACUUAUAUGUAUAUAUUGAUAUUGAACUUCAUGAAAGUAUCCUCUGAAUUGAAGUGAAAUAAUUUAGUAUACCUUG